UCCCCCUAGGGCUCCUACCUCACAGCGCUCACCCAGGACAGAGGACCAGAGUCUGUACCCCCUCCAGGGCAGCUCCAACCCCAUAUCCCCAGGCCCUGGGUUGAGGGGUGCUGGCGGUGGGGAGGCAGGGACAGUAGGUACCCAACCCCCGCCCCUUCAUCUCUCAAUGCCCCCCGCCUUUUCCUCAACUCCCCCCCUCCCCAAAACUCACAGCUGCUCCAGAGGUUCCUCCAGUCAAACCCUUUCUGGAAACGACGGCGGCCCGGCGGGUCCAAACCACCUACCAUCCCCGCUCGCGUUUCCAGGCUCCCUACCCCGCCACCGCCGCCUCUUCUUCCACCACUGCCACCGCCUCCUCUUCAUCUGCGGCCCACCGGCGGCGGCCGCCCCGAAGCCCCGCCCCCUCCAUCGCCUCCUGCAUCAUCACUUCCGGUAACCCCGCCAGCCGCCAGCUCCAGGAGGGAGAAUGGGAGAGGGGCAAGGAGGGAACGAGUGGAA
rnacentral:sRNA from 1 species